rnacentral:misc_RNA from 1 species
GAUGAAGAACGCAGCGAAAUGCGAUAAGUAAUGUGAAUUGCAGAAUUCAGUGAAUCAUCGAAUCUUUGAACGCACAUUGCGCCCCCUGGUAUUCCGGGGGUCAUGCCUGUUCGAGCGUCAUUUCACCACUCAAGCCUCGCUUGGUAUUGGGCAACGCGGUCCGCCGCGUGCCUCAAAUCGACCGGCUGGGUCUUCUGUCCCCUAAGCGUUGUGGAAACUAUUCGCUAAAGGGUGCUCGGGAGGCUACGCCGUAAAACAAACCCAUUUCUAAGGUUGACCUCGGAUCAGGUAGGGAUACCCGCUGAACUUAAGCAUAUCAAUAAGCGGAGGA